rnacentral:rRNA from 1 species
GACGAACGCUGGCGGCGUGCUUAACACAUGCAAGUCGAACGGAAAGGCCCUGCUUUUGUGGGGUGCUCGAGUGGCGAACGGGUGAGUAACACGUGAGUAACCUGCCCUUGACUUUGGGAUAACUUCAGGAAACUGGGGCUAAUACCGGAUAGGAGCUCCUGCUGCAUGGUGGGGGUUGGAAAGUUUCGGCGGUUGGGGAUGGACUCGCGGCUUAUCAGCUUGUUGGUGGGGUAGUGGCUUACCAAGGCUUUGACGGGUAGCCGGCCUGAGAGGGUGACCGGCCACAUUGGGACUGAGAUACGGCCCAGACUCCUACGGGAGGCAGCAGUGGGGAAUAUUGCACAAUGGGCGGAAGCCUGAUGCAGCAACGCCGCGUGCGGGAUGACGGCCUGCGGGUAGUAAACCGCAUUCGCCUGUGACGAAGCGUGAGUGACGGUAAUGGAUAAAGAAGCACCGGCUAACUACGUG